rfam:Ciona savignyi cont_30293, whole genome shotgun sequence.
UGUCCUCAGUCCCGGGUCGUCUCGGCGCGGUUCCGAGCGGUCGCUCCCUCGCGAGGUGCCGCGGGUCAGCGGCUGACGCCAGCCACCUUCCCGACCCGUCUUGAAACACGGACCAAGGAGUCUAACAUGUGCGCGAGCCGCGGGGCAGUACGAAACCCGUAAGGCGAAAUGAAGGUGAACGCCGGCGCGGUCCGGCGGAGGUUGGAUCCCGUCCCGUCGGGGCGGGCGCACUACCGGCCGAUCUUCUCCGCCCUGUCGGCGAGGUCGAGCGAGAGCGUGCAAGUCGGGACCCGAAAGAUGGUGAACUAUGCCUGAGGAGGUUGAAGCCAGAGGAAACUCUGGUGGAGGACCGUAGCGAUUCUGACGUGCAAAUCGAUCGUCAAAUUUGGGUAUAGGGGCGAAAGACUAAUCGAACCGUCUAGUAGCUGGUUCCCUUCGAAGUUUCCCUCAGGAUAGCUGGCGCUCUGUCGCAGUUUUAUCUGGUAAAGCGAAUGGAUUAGACGUCUUGGGGGCGAAACGCCCCUCACCUAUUCUCAAACUUUAAAUUGGGAAAAAAGCCCGACUCGCUCG